rnacentral:sRNA from 1 species
AUUCUGCCCAUGCGGGGAAGGAUGAGAAGCUUCGACUAAGGUUCGGCUCAAGCGUCAGCGAGAGAGCGUUGCCGCAGGCAACGACCCGAAGGGCGAAGCGCGCAGCGCUGAGUAAUCCUUCCCCCACCACCA